CAAUAAUGAGCAUGGGGGUUUCAGCCU
rnacentral:piRNA from 1 species